UCCGGGGAACCCUGAACGUGAUGAGGUCGUGCGCCAAGGCCGGGACGGUGAAGCGCGUGAUCCUGACCUCGUCGGCGGCCGCGGUCAUCAGGAGGCCGGAGCUGCAAGGCGACGGGCAUGUGCUGGACGAGGAGUCCUGGUCCAACGUCGAGUACCUCACCGCCAACAAGCCUCCUUUCUGGGUACGCGCCGCCGCGCCCUUCCUUCAUCAUGAGCAGUGCUGGGUCCGUUCGGUAAUGGCGUCCGCGUCGUUGGCCUUGGCCAUCGCAGGGAUACCCCGUGUCGAAGGUGCUGCUGGAGAAGGAGGCGAGCAGGUUCGCGGAGGAGCACGGCAUCAGCCUCGUCACCGUCUGCCCCGUGGUCACCGUCGGCGCAGCGCCGGCGCCGAGCGCCCGCACCAGCGUCCCCAACUGCCUCUCCCUUCUAUCCGGUGAGGCCGCGAGCCGAUGAUAAGCAGACCGGCCGGGAGACGAGAAGAAGAACUUGUCGUUUUUCUCUCGUACCUGUUCCUUUUCACGCCACGCGAUCGACCUUCUGAGCUCCGCCUGAUGACCAUCUCAGGCGACGAGGCGGAGUUCGCCGUGCUGAGAGGCAUCGAGAGGGGGUCCGGCACGGUGGCGCUGGUUCACCUCGACGACGUCUGCCGCGCCGAGCUGUUCGUCGCCGAGGAGCCGGCGGCCGCGGGGAGGUACCUCUGCUCCAGCCUCGACACCACCAUCCGCGAGCUCGCACGCUUCCUGGCACACAAGUGCCCGCAGUACCCCGUGAAAACAAACCUGCUGUAAGAAUCAGCUUCUGAACUCUGAGACUUGCGCUGCACUGACGAGUGAGUAGUGAUGUGUGAUCCUGGUCUUCCACUUUAUUUGCAGCUCCGGCGACCUGCUUGAGAAGCCAAGAAUGCGCCUGUCGUCGGCGAAGCUGGUGAGGGAAGGGUUUGAAUACAAGUACAAGACGCUGGAUGGGAUGUACGACGACAUGAUCGAGUACGGCCAAGCUUUGGGAAUUCUCCCCAACUAAGGCUAUCUCCAACCGUCGUUCUCUGUAUCCUUCAUUUACAGAAUUCUCUACAAGAUUCUCUCCUCUAUAUCUCAUUUCUCUCCAACAACGUUCUCUAAAUCUCGUUCUCUGUACAUUAAACUCUAUAUUAGAAACGUAUUUUGUUCCAAAUUUUUGUACGUACAUAUUUAUCAUACCUCAAAUGCUAUGGACAUAUUUUAUUUUUAUUUAAUUCAGUGUUUAAAAUGUAAAGAAAAAAUAGAGAAGAGGAGAGAAAAUCUCUAUAUAUAGAGGAAACCUGUAGCGUUGUCUAUUUGAGAGGACCAUUUAAAGAACGCUGCUGGAGCAAUAGAGAACGGAAUCUUCUCUAUACAUAGGGUAGAGAACGGUUUAGAGGGUACUGUUGGAGACAGCCUAAUGACGAUGCUCCUCUGCCCUGGGUGAGCACAGUUCCAAAACCAGGUGCUUGCAGAAGAAGUCUAUGGUUCCCGGCAAAAAAAGGAAGCUCUAUGUUAUAUUUUUAGAGAGGAAGCAACAAACUUAUUUAUUGAUUAACAAUAAUAUAAUCUUUAUAACCAACAGGCACAGUGCAAAUAUCCGAAGAAUGAUGGGAUAACAAGUGUGUGCUUUUUUGCUGGGCUUUGUGGUAUGUCUUUUACUCAUCGCAAGUUACCGCUCCUUCUAUUCCAAAUUAUAUACCAUUUUACCUUUUUAGAUACACAGAUUUUAUUAUACAGCUAGAGAUACGACAUAUUUAAAUAGAAAUUUUAAAAAUAUGUAGCUAGAAAAGUCAAAUCCAUCUUUUUUUAACAAUUUGCGGGAGCUCCGUUUUGCCAUUUAAGCAGGGAGAAAAGAGCAAGGUUCAAAGUGCUUACAAUGGCGAUAUUAUAUAAAUAAAAGAGUUCUUAAUCUCUAGAAAAACGAAACUAAUCAUUAAAAGAAGAUAACUCCGGUCUUCCGCAGGCCAUAUUCCUGCAUUGCAUCUCGGCUUUGAUCUCCUGCAUCACCUCCAAUGAUGUCAUUGUUUUUUUCUCAAAAACCCGCUUGUUUCUUGCCUUCCAGAUAUUCCAUGCGCCAUGGAUCAUCAAAGCCGCCUUGAGUCGCCGAGCCUUCUUUGACAGAUGCGCUAAUUUCUUCUCCCACCAAUCCAUCACUUCCAUUCCCUGAGCCGGCUUCUUGAUGAUAGACUGUGUCCAAUUUUCCAUUCUGUCCCAGACUUUCUGAAAACCGAAUCUUGAACAGAGUGGGUAGUAUACAUGUGUAUAACAAACAAAUCAAUGUGGUAAAAUAAAUUAUGCAUAUGAUUAAUUGCAGCCACUAUUAAAAGGUUGAAAUUCCUGAUGUAAACCCCUCGGUGAGAUCGCACCGAGCAGCGGAGGGGGCACGACAGUGGAUCAUGGUCGGAAAUAGGAGCCUGCCGUCGCCAGCCACGCUGUGCUAGCGGGUGUUAGCUGCUUUGCCCGUCGCGUUUUAGUGUCUUUUCUCUUUUGUAAUUCACAAUUAUGAAAUGCUGGCCCAAGCCCUAAAGCACAGAUGAAGCUGAAGGCAGAGUCGCUUUGCCACUUCCAUGGUGCCUACAAAGGACAGAGCAUUGGAGUAUGGAGGACUGGGUAUUCCUAACACGUGUACAUACUCGUACAUCCCCGGUUACACUCACGCAGGAAAGGGAACACACGCGUAGAGACACCUGUAGAUCACAGGCAAGCAGGGCAACGACGCGUGGAGGCAGAUCACACCUCCGAAAGAAGCUUCAUCAUCAUUGUUCAACCACAUUAAUGUGUGCUUCUUCCUUUCUUUCCUUUUUCUUUGAGAGAAUUCCUUUCUUUUUUUUUUAGAUCGCACGGUGACAAGAGUGGUAUGAUCUUUGAUCCAUGGCGAUGUGUGCAAAGUUUUCUGUUCAUGAUGUAGAGGUGAUUGAUAGGGAGAUCAACCUAACCGUGGACGCAAGGCCCCAACGAUCGGUGUCCGCGUGGACGGCUGCCCUGACAGCAACUGAUAAAGCAUGCCGCAUCUGAACUAUGCCAUCUCUUCCUACAGAAGAGUAGCAGACUGGCGAGCGAACCCUCAGCGGCUGCCUCUGCCUCAGCCCCCCCCCCCCCCCCCCCCCCCCCCCCCCCCCCGUGCUAGUGGGGAGUGAGGAGACAGGCUAGGGGAGGAAGUGGCCGGCGAUGUCGACGGUCAACAAGAAGAAGGUGGCGUGCGUCACCGGAGGCAGCGGGUACAUCGCCUCCGCGCUCAUCAAGAUGCUGUUGGAGAAAGGGUAUGCCGUGAAGACGACGGUCAGGAACCCCGGUUCGACCCACUGAUCCUUCUUUUUCAUCUCAGAUUUUUGCAAAAAUAGGCAGUAUGUGUUCUCGUUAGAGCUUUAUUUCCAUCAUCCUUGGAGUAAAAAGAAAAUUCUAGUUACAAGUUUGGUAGCGCGGAUCAUAAAAAAAAAUGUUAGCAUCGCUGAUGCUCUGCGUUUACUCUCAGUCAGUUCAGAGAGAGUAACUUAGGGGAAAAGGUUCACGAUUCUGAAUGCUGAGCUUACCAAAAAUCGAUUCUGAAUGGUCGCGUGCAUAUUUCUACUCUUGCAAGUUGUUAUGAAUUUAUGACCCCGAAUCACCAAUCUCGCUUGGCCGUUCUGAUCCUGAAACCCCAGAUGACACGGCGAAGAACUCCCACCUCAGGGAGUUGCAGGCGCUCGGCCCCCUGACGGUCCUCCGCGCCGACUUGGACGAAGAAGGCAGCUUCGACGAUGCCGUCGCCGGCUGCGACUACGCCUUCCUCGUCGCCGCCCCGGUGAACCUCGAGACGGAGAAUGCUGAGGUGCGCGGACAUCACCGGACAGUUACCCUUUCUGCUCUAGAUUUCUUUUCUUCUUGUUGUUGCUUCACCAGUUGCUGGCUUAUCCACUGCCGAGCAACGCCUUGACAUUGGCCAGCCAGAUGAACUCGGUGAGUCAUGAGUGGCAUGGCAGGAAGAACUGAUCGAGCCAGCAGUCCGGGGAACCCUGAACGUGAUGCGGUCGUGCGCCAAGGCGGGCACCGUGAAGCGCGUGGUCCUGACCUCGUCGGCGUCCUCGGUCACCAGGCGGCCGGAUCUGCAAGGCGACGGGCAUGUCCUGGACGAGGAGUCCUGGUCCGACGUCGAGCACCUCAGAGCCGAGAAGCCGCCGACCUGGGGGUACUGCGUGUCCAAGGUGCUCGUGGAGAAGGCGGCGAGUAGGUUCGCGCAGGAGCACAGCAUCAGCCUCGUCACCCUCUGCCCCGUCGUCACCGUCGGCGCCGCGCCGGCGCGGAGAACCCGCACCAGCGUCCCCAACUGCCUCUCCCUUCUGUCCGGUGUGGCCGCGAGCGCGAGCUGAGCGCGCUGACCGGAACACGAGAAGAACUUGUCAGAGUUCUUCAAUCUCAUGUCACACGAUCGACGGCUUACUUUCGCGUGAUCGUUUCAGGCGACGAGGCAGAGUUCGCCGUGCUGGCAGCCAUCGAGAAGUCUUGCAGCACGAUGCCGCUGGUUCACCUCGACGACGUCUGCCGCGCCGAGCUGUUCGUCGCCGAGGAGCCGGCGGCCGCGGGGAGGUACCUCUGCUCCAGCCUCGACACCACCAUCCGCGAGCUCGCACGCUUCCUGGCACACAAGUACCCGCAGUACCCCGUGAAAACAAACCUGCUGUAAGAAUCAGCUUCUGAACUCUGAGACUUGCGCUGCACUGACGAGUGAGUAGUGAUGUGUGAUCCUGGUCUUCCACUUUAUUUGCAGCUCCGGCGACCUGCUUGAGAAGCCAAGAAUGCGCCUGUCGUCGGCGAAGCUGAUGAGGGAAGGGUUCGAGUACAAGUACGAGACGCUGGAUGGGAUGUACGACGACAUGAUCGAAUACGGCAAGGCUUUGGGAAUUCUCCCCAACUAAUGACGGCGCUCCUCUGCUUUGGGGUGAUCAGAGCUCCAAACCAUUUGCUACAUUUUUUUUCAUCAUCGCUUCCUUCUGUGUUUGACAAAUAAAAAAAAUGCUUGAGCUGUGUGUUUUUGCAUGGAAACAGAUAUGACAAUUGCUUCUUCUUUUAUGGAUAAGGAUAAACCGGCCUCUAUAUCCAUCUGGUGGAUAUAUGCAGCCAAUGACGAUUGCUUCUACGUACAUGUAUACGUGGUGUGAACAGUGAGUGACACACAUCAUGCAUAAAUACCUUGAGUUUGUUUUCUUCUAUAUUUGUUAACGGUUGCAUAAGUGGGUAAUUUAUAAGCUUACAAUAUCAAGUACUUGGGAUAUUUUUUAUAAUGACAAUGGUAGGUAAUUUAGAUAUAGAUUUAUGAGUCACCUUAGAUUUUUUUUAUAAAAGAUGGGAUAGGUUAUUUAGAUGUGAAACUAGAUUAUUUUUGGUAGUGUUGUAGAUAGAUAAUUUAGAUAACGAUUAGGGGUUACUUUAGAUAACUUUUAUAGGUGAAUUAUUCAGAUAUAGAUUAGAAAUGCAAAAUUAAAGCGAAUUACACUAUUGGUAAUGGAGAGAGAGUUGGCAGGAGGCGCGAGUAAUCUGUUAGAGAUGCUCUAAAUGCUGGAGAGAACAUCCACCACAACACAAUACACCGGCACCAAACUAAAGCAAAUUGCAACUUGCGGGUGUUAAUAAAAAAUAUACAUUGUGUUACUUAUGAGCUACGAUUACUGUAUGACAACUAGCAUUUAAAUGGAUCCUUGUCGCAGGAGUGGUCCAUGACAAAAAUGUUACUUUUAGGUGACGACCAAUUCUUGUCUCGCCAUUCUUGUUGACUUGUCUCUUUUUUUUCCCGACAAAUCAAAGACGUUGCCCUCUUUGUCUUGAGGGAAAUUCAAUCGUAUCCACUCAACACAUCAGAUAUUAGUUGCAGCAAAAUCAUUCCAUUGAAUCACAAACUCGUCUUGAGUCCUGAUCGACCACACGUUGCCAGUUCGUGCGAACAAAAAUCUCUGGCUUGCAUGCGACUUUUUCUCUGGAGUUCUCAAACCGUACGAUGAGGUCGCCUACCUGCUUGCUCUGCGUGCGCGUAUAACAAUGCUGGAGUAGUGGAGAAUUCCUCUUGUGGCAACCAACACAGGAACCACCUGACCACAGUGUAAGUGUAACUGUGCUCGUUCUCUCUACCAGACAGCCAUGGCGGUUCCAGGUGCCGUGAAGACGGCGUGCGUCACGGGAGGCAACGGGUACAUCGCCUCAGCGCUCGUGAAGAUGCUGCUGGAGAAGGGCUACGCUGUCAAGACGACCGUCAGGGACCCUGGUUCGAUCGGUUUCUUCUUUUGAUUUUCAAUGAUCGAGUGGCUGCAUGAGCUCGCUCGUCCCUGCUGGAGAUCGAUGCCUUUGGAUUGUUCUUUGGUUAAUUCGUUUAUGAACUCUGUGUGAACGAUCGAUUUGUUUGUAGGUGACAUGGAGAAGAACUCCCACUUGAAGCGCUUGCAGGCGCUCGGGCACUUGGAGGUCCUCCGCGCCGACUUGGACGAGGAGGGCAGCUUCGACGAGGCGGUCGCCGGCUGCCACUACGCCUUCCUCGUCGCCGCUCCGGUGAACCUCGCGUCGGAGAAUCCCGAGGUACGUACUAUGUAUAGUGUGCGAGCGCCACCUAGGAUCUUCCGCAAGCGUUUUUGGUGACGCUCGGCAUGCAGGAAGAACAGAUCGGGCCUGCCGUCCGAGGGACCCUGAACGUGCUGAGGUCGUGCGCGAAGGCGGGGACGGUGAAGCGCGUGAUCCUGACCUCGUCGGCGGCCGCCGUGGUGCCCAGCGGCAGAGGGUCGCCGCGAGGAGACGGCGGCGGACGUGUGAUGGACGAGGAGACCUGGCCCGACGUCAACUACCUCGUAGCCAACAAGCCAGUAACAUGGGUACAAUCCCUGCACACACCUAGGGUACGGUGCGCGGACACAUACUGCAGGGUGCAUGACCGGCCGUGUAUUUGCC
rnacentral:lncRNA from 1 species